rnacentral:lncRNA from 1 species
GCAAACAACCCGCGACUGUUUGAGUUUCGCUUUCUUUUCUCCUCUCUUGUCUAGUUUCUUCCACAUGGCUCCCGCCUUCUCCUUCCUUCACUUCAUCUUCUUCCUCAACAAAGCAGCCACAUAGACCAACACGCAUUAUGAUGGUUUUAUCAUCAUUACACUCGCUAUUCUUUAGCCCACUUCUCAAAAUCCCUUCACCAAAACUUAAACUGUCACCAUUUUUUACACCACCAACAACAGGAAA